AGCAGCCGCGGUAAUUCCAGCUCCAAUAGCGUAUAUUAAAGUUGUUGCAGUUAAAAAGCUCGUAGUUGAAUUUCGGGGUUAGUAGGUUGGUCGUGCCUCAGGUAUGUACUGAUCUCACUGAUUCCUCCUUCCUGAUGAACCGUAAUGCCAUUAAUUUGGUGUUGCGGGGAAACUGGACUGUUACUUUGAAAAAAUUAGAGUGUUUAAAGCAGGCUAACGCUUGAAUACAUUAGCAUGGAAUAAUGAAAUAGGACGUUCGAUCCUAUUUUGUUGGUUUCUAGGAUUGACGUAAUGAUUAAUAGGGAUAGUUGGGGGCAUUAGUAUUCAAUUGUCAGAGGUGAAAUUCUUGGAUUUAUUGAAGACUAAACUACUGCGAAAGCAUUUGCCAAGGAUGUUUUCAUUAAUCAAGAACGAAAGUUAGGGGAUCGAAGACGAUCAGAUACCGUCGUAGUCUUAACCAUAAACUAUGCCGACUAGGGAUCGGAUGAUGUUAAUUUUUAAUGACUCAUUCGGCGCCUUA
rnacentral:rRNA from 1 species